CCCUUAGAUGUUCUGGGCCGCACGCGCGCUACACUGACGAUGGCAACGAGUUUUUCCUUCGCCGAAAGGUGUGGGUAAUCUUUUGAAACAUCGUCGUGCUGGGGAUAGAUCAUUGCAAUUUUUGAUCUUGAACGAGGAAUUCCUAGUAAGCGCGAGUCAUCAGCUCGCGUUGAUUACGUCCCUGCCCUUUGUACACACCGCCCGUCGCUACUACCGAUUGAAUGGUUUAGUGAGGACUCCUGAUUGGCGCCGCCGCCCCGGCAACGGAGCAGCGGACUGCCGAAAAGUUCUUCAAACUUGAUCAUUUAGAGGAAGUAAAAGUCGUAACA
rnacentral:rRNA from 1 species